ACGGGAGGGGCAAGCGUUAUCUGAAAUAACUGGGCGUAAAGGGUUCGUAGACGGUCUAGCAAGUUAGUUGUUAAAGCCUAAAACUCAAUUUUAGAAAAGCUUCUAAUACUGUUAGACUAGAGUUUUUUGCAGAAAAGUGGAAUUUCAUGUCGAGGAGCAACGACUACAAACACAUGAAGGAAUAUCAGUAGCGAAGGCGACUUUUUAGUAAAAACUGACGUUGAGGGACGAAAGUGUAGGUAGCAAACAAG
rnacentral:rRNA from 1 species